ACAUUCAAGGACAGUCGUAAUCACUCUAGUGAGAAGCAGCUCAUAAAAAUACUCAUGGCGACUGGGAUUUAAAUGCAUUUUGACAGGAAAGUGGAAGAAAGCAUCAAGAGCAGAAUCCAUGCCACUGUCACAACCUGAGAGAAAUUUGGUGGAGUCGAGGAGGGCGGUAGAGGACACUGAAUGCUAAGUAGCAGGAGGAUGACAGAGACGAAUUCUGAAUCAUUGACAGGAAUAUCUCAAAUGAAAGUAUAUAAAACAGGAAUUAUCUCAAAUGAAGAAGUUGAGUUUUCAGGCCAAAAGCUGGCAAAGGUUGCCAUGCAGUCUUCAGGAUCAUUCACCAAGAGCCCUUUCCUCCACCUGAAACAUUCCCUGAAGAUCCUGUAAAUAAAUACAGGUAAAUAAACUUGACUGUAUGAACUUCA